rnacentral:lncRNA from 1 species
CAAGUUGGAAAGGACAAGGAUCAUCAAGUCCAGCUCCUGGCUCUACACAGGACUACCUAAAAAUCAGACCACAUCUGAGAGCAUUGUCCAAAUGCUUCUUGAACUUCUACAGGCUCAGUGCUGUGACCACUGCCCUGGGGAGUUUGACCACCUCUGGGUGCAGAACCUUUCCCUGAGCCCCAGCCUGACCCUCCCCUGUCCCAGCUCCAUGCCGUUCCUUCAGGUCCAAACACUGGUCACCAGAGAGAAGAGAGCAGCACCUCUCCCUCUGCUUCCCUCCAUGAGAAAGUUAUAGACUGUGACAAUACGGCAGAAGUUUGUAGUCCAGCUUAUAGUGUAACACCUUUGUCUUUCAGGACUUUGCAGAUGUCUCUGAGCUCCAGGAGAUGAAAUGUGUUUUGUGUCCAGAGUGGUUGUGAAGUCAGUAACCUCCUGAGGAAGCUCCCCGAUAUUGGAACCAAGCAAAGUAGCAGGCUGCCUUCAGAGAUGAUGCGAGCAGGCUCUUUUUCUUUGGAGCAAUGACCAGGAAGGAUCGGAGUUGGUUUCUUGAGCAGCUGUGCUCUCAGAUGAACAGGCUGCGGGAAACGUUUGACAGGCAGAGGAUGUAACAUCAGAUGUCAAACAGAGUUUGGUGGAAGCAGCAUGUCCUCAGGUGUGAGAGUAAUUGUGGACAGCUACAUGUGGAGUGCAGUGGGCUUUGAGCUGAUCACCCCUUGUCUGCUAAAGAGACAAAUUGUCCUUUUGUGGGACAAACUAAAGAGGAAAGGGAGUGUAAAGUUUGCAGAAGAGAACCUUUGUCAAGACCUUUCUUUUUUGUUUGUUUCCUUGCUUUUUUGGGGAAAAGAUGUUUCAAAUGUUCUGCCUGAAAAAUUGAAACCACCUCUGCAGCUUACAGUAACUUUUCACAGAGGCUCUUGCUUGGCAUUCGCUGUACUGAGCUGUUCAUAUGCUAGACAUCUCUAAUAGUGUUUUAGUCUCCAGUGGUGUUUUUCUUGGAAAUUCUUCCUUUGAAUAAUAAAACAAAGAGCAGUUGCCA